UCGGCCGUCCCCCGUAAAAUCGACCUGCGGUCGUGUGCGCGCGCGUCGCAGACGCGGCCGCAUCCGUCGGGCGUCGCGCGACGGGGGGCCUUUUCCGCCGUUCGCCGCGUCGACGUCCGACUCUCUCGGUCCUCGGACCGUAACGAAGCCACGGCGCACGAUGGGCGCCAGGGAAAACCUGUGGAAAGCGGCCGGGAGCGUACGGGCGCCCGAACCCCCCCUCCCCGCACGGCGGGGGGGCCGGCCCCGUAUGUGGCCCCGGUCGAUGAAAACGUGCAGUCGUAC
rnacentral:misc_RNA from 1 species